GUGUGUAUAGCUCGUAGAUGGGAG
rnacentral:siRNA from 1 species